CAAAUAAAUACCCCCCUUUUAGUAUUACCCAGGUAAAAUUUCCUUUCUAAAUAGGUGCUAAACUUGAAAAUUUCUGGUAGAAAAGUAGUUAACAGAUAAAAACAUAAAAUAAACAUUAUAAAACUAAUACAUCCCGCUCCAUUUCAAACCUAAAAGGUCAAUAUCAAUAAAAAAUAAAAUUCAAAAUUUUGGCCUUAACUCCUUAAUUUUUGAAGAUGGACGUCUUUGUUUGGAGAGUAUACUACAUUUUAUACACUAAACUUAAA